UACGAAGGGGGCUAGCGUUGUUCGGAAUCACUGGGCGUAAAGGGCGCGUAGGCGGCUUCGUAAGUCGGGGGUGAAAGCCUGUGGCUCAACCACAGAAUUGCCUUCGAUACUGCAUGGCUUGAGACCGGAAGAGGUAAGUGGAACUGCGAGUGUAGAGGUGAAAUUCGUAGAUAUUCGCAAGAACACCAGUGGCGAAGGCGGCUUACUGGUCCGGUACUGACGCUGAGGUGCGAAAGCGUGGGGAGCAAACAGG
rnacentral:rRNA from 1 species